AGGGGUGUAGUUCAAUGGUAGAACUAAGAACUCCAAACUCUUCAAUAGUGGUUCAAGUCCGCUCACCCCUG